CCCUCGUCGUGUUUUAUGGUAUUUUAUAAAAUUCAAAGAGAAUAUCUGCAAUAUUUAUACUAUAUUUCCAAGUACGGACAGUUCUGCAUGGGUGUCUGUAGCCAUCCUGCUCUCUGGAAUGAUUGUUCUGCCUUUCUCUUUCAUGCAGCAACAAUUUAGUCAUAUAUUUGCCGCAUUAUUUUAUAUAUAUGUUGUUACAUGUCUGUCUGUCUUGGAUAUAGUCGAUAUAUACAUAAGCCCAGAGAGACAGACAUACAUAGCCUACAUACAGACAGAGAUACAUACAGAUAGGUAGAUAGACAGAGAGAGAGAAAGAGAGAGAAAGAAGACAGCCAAAGCUCCAGUUUAGACAAAUGUAACAAUGAUUAAAAAAAACCCCAACAACAUUUUUGUCUCACAGCUGACAGUUUGUCUUUGUUACUCAGUGAUAAGUUACUUCAUUGUUAUAUACACCAACAAUUAGCAUGGAGGCAGAUUUCCACACAGUUAUCUUUUUCCACUUUCAUUUUCUGUGCUGUUACACAAAAUGCAGAAGCAAACCUAUGUGUGACCAUAAUAGAAACAAAGGUUUGAAAUUUACAACUGAAAUCUCUGCUGCGGUAUUUUUGGUCAGCCUGUCAAGCUGGAGAGUGACACAAAGCUUUCAGCACACAGUAAACUAAUUCAAGUGUCUUAAGUGGAAGAGGCCCCCGUAUUGUCAACUUGAGUAUUUGUUACUGUAAAUUUAAAGUGUGCAAUGGAUAAAGUGUUUGAUGCGGUGGGAACAUCAGCUCCAUUGUGGGCCAAACUUAUUUGUGUUUAAUUCAUUUUACAAGGUGUCACGGCUGGAUUUGAGGCCCGACACUUGGCUGAGGACGGUCCUAGCUGCACAGUUUGGGUACGAGACGAUCCUUGUCUGAAAGCUAUAAACUAGACCACAUUAUAUUUCCAGUAAAAGGAAUAUUCAAAUGUUCUCAAUAUUUCUUGAAUGCCCUCAAGGAACUAAAGAAGUCCAAAGUUAUUGCGGCAAGUUGUACAUUUACUGUCUGACUGAUUGUAAUUUAUGCAGCUGUGAUACUCCUUGGAUUCCUGAUUUUCUCUUUUUUUAACCCAGUACGUCAUAUUCCAGUUUACUGUAUAUGUACAUGGAGACAAAAGAUACCUGAACUUGGAUAAAGUGGUCUAAACCAGUUUCACUGUGACUUCUAUUGUAUGGAAGCGAUACACUCUGUUUCUAAUCAGGCUUGGUUUUAUCCUCGCCCGCUCCCUGCUCCUCAGCCUAAUCAAACUCAUAUAUGCAGGCAGAGUGCCUGCAAUUACACAUAAGCCCCUGCCUUGUGCAUGUGUGUGAGCGAGAGUGUGUGCAUGAGCAUUGUGAGAGUGUGUGUGUGUGUGUGUCUUUGUGAAUACAAUUCUGUAUGUGCGUAUGUCUAACUGUGUGUGUGUGCAAGGGUGCGGUUUUGGGGGGUUGAAGUCACCCCAGUGCUCGAAUGCCAAGUUUUUCUGGGGGAUAUGAAGCUGUGCAGCUUUACGAGACCUCAGCCUAUGUAGGAUACUUAGACACUCACACCACAGACACACAUGCAUAGAAUGUACAGUAUACACACAUGUGCACACACACAUAUACGUACACGGCCACAAAUGUCUUGUGGCCAGAGAUAUGCUGGCACAAGCAACUAGAAAAGGAAUUAGAAUCAGAAACAGGAGAAAAUUACAAAAUAAAAGUGGAAGAAAGUGAAGCAUAUUGAGGUGUAGUCUAGUCCUCCUUUCCCAUAGUCUCUCCUCUUUCCAAACCACACCCCACCACGGCACAGGCCCAAACCCCAGAGCCUUUGUGUGCUCCCUCGCUUUUCCCUCUUUCUCUUUCUGUCUACCCGCUUUUCUAUUUCUCCUUCGUUCUUUUUAGUGACCUUUUUUCUCUUUUUUUCUAUCUUUUAGCUGUCACCUCUCUCUUUCUGCCGUCUUAAUCACACACACUGUCCCUUUCGUCUGUCUGACUUUACUGGCCCGUCUUUGUCUCGCUGGCUACAGUCUUGGCCCAUACGACCACGUCAGUAUUCAACACAGGCGCUUGGCUGCAACAAACAAACUAUAGCAACCACAGGAGUUACAAAACACUGAUGCUCAGGUUUUCUCUCCAAAUUCUCUUUUUGCCCGUGAUCAAACACGUCCUCUCUGACCAUCACCUAUGAAAGCCCCCGAAGCGCACAGGGCUCUAGCGGUUUUCUGAGUUUGCCAUUAAAAAAGCACACGAGAAAACCAUAUGGUGUGUCUAAAGUUAGCAUGUUGUGGUCUCCCAUUGACACACAGCACUGCCCAUAUACUUGCUGUUUACCAUCGCCUGUGGCUAGGCCAUUAAAUAUUAAAAGUGAUGUAGCAUACUGAUACUGCCAUUAGCAUGCUAAAUGUGUGAGACAGGUGGUUGAGGCUGCCUUUCCAAAGGCAGGAAAUAUGUGAACGGAAAAUGUGUGUAACUGUGCCGUUUACUACGCUGUACAGUGUAAAUAUUGUUUGAGUAAGCUGUUUAUGUGUGCUCUGGGAGGGAGCAUGCCAGUCAAAUGCAUACAGGCAUAUGCAGUCAGAAAGAAAUGGCUGACUGGCCGUUAUGGCUAACAAGCAUAUCAUACACAGUGUGGAUCCUGGAGACUCUAUGGAUCUGUUUGCAAUCUGAGUGUGUGUGCGGAGCAAUGUGUUACGCCUCCUGCUUUUUAUGUGUUUACUGUGUGAAAUAGCUCCAUAUACGUUUUACUCAACUGGUUUGGAUUCCUGCCUUUCUACCGUGUUUGUAUUCAACAGGAAGAAAAUGUAUAGAUUUCAGGUAUCAUAAUUUCUUCAACAUGUCAGAUUACAGCACGCAGGCAAAAGGAGAGGUUUUUACCAACCAGCCAAACUGUCGUCUAUAAACUCAAGCUGAAAGACGACAUGCUGUUUUUUACUAAAGAUAUGAAAACUACCACAUGCAGAACAUGUCAGAAAGUGUCCUGUAAAAGACAAAAAAAUCUCAUAUUUUUGUUUUGUAAUGCUUUUCAGUUUUAUUCUGUUUUAACUGGCUGCAGCGUAGCAUAAAUAAACCUUGAAAAAAUAAUUGUCACAGAAAAGUUGACAUUUUGAGGAAAUAUGGUGUUCAUGCAGGGUACUGUUGCCACAUGUCAGCACAUUUGACACAUGGGUUCAGGGCAUCCAUGAUGACAUGGGGGAGAUUUUACAGGUAGUGCAUAUACAGUAUGAACAUGCUCACGGUAAGAAUGUCAACACUCAGAAACGUGUGUGUAUUUCCUGGACACAUUAACCCCAGAACCUACAAUUUAAGAUCUGAAGAAUGAAGAUAAUUUAGUGGUUAACAUCCCCACAGUGCAGUCUGACCCUGUAAAAAUUACUCUGCAACAUGCACUGAUGAGUCUAUUGUACUCUGAAUGCCCUCCUCCUCCCAACUGUGGUAAAUCUUUAUAAAGGAUUAUAUUUAAUGGACUGGGCUUGUUUGAGUGUCCAGGAAAUAAAUCUGUGAGACAUCGACAUGACAGGGACAGACAAAGAGAGCUUGUAGUGUGUGUGUGUGUGUGUGUGUGUGUGUGUGUGUGUGUGUGUGUGCGUGUGCAUAUAUACCCUAUAUGUAUCAGACACGAGGAAACAUUCAGGCAUCCCUGGACCUCUAGAAGGAUCGUCGUUCACCAGGUACGUGUCAGUAGCCUAAAAAACAACAACAAAGAGAUGGUUAUUUAAUGAAAUGUUUAAUUAAAGAGUGCAAUGAUUUUGUCAUAAUAUUAACAACUUUCUUAGGAUGCAGAGGUCAGUCAUUUUUGGCACUAAGGCACCAGAAAUUCUAGCAUUUGUUGAAUUAGUAGCUGCUGAAUAAACCUGCAGUGAAUUUGUGGCCCAAUACAAUAUAUGAAAACAUUUUACUCAGACAUUUAAAUGAUUUAAUUUCUCUCCAUAUUUACCUAAAUGCAAUUUUAUAUCUAGCAUUUUUUUUGUUUUGUUUUGUUUUUGAACAAAUGUCAAACAACACUGCCCCUAAGAAAUAAUGCAGUUAAAAAAAGUUAGCAUUUUUCACAAAAUUCUAAGAAUUUAUUAAAAUCCAGUGAGACAGUUGUGUCCUCAGGUCACCCUGAUCAAACAUAGAUUUUCUUGCUUCCCCUUUGUGAGACAAUCCUAAAAUUUAACUGUACUAUAUGAAUCAGCCUUAUAACCCCUACUGGUUUCAUUUCUCCACAGAAAGCACGGCGCCUGCUAACAACUCUUGCACUAUACAUCCCUAGCCAGAAUGUCUUCUCUUUUUAUAGCCGAGGCCUCCAGCUCCUUAAGGGGGCAACACAGUGCCCAUUGUUGAGUCUCAAGAAGAGGAUGAAGCCAGGAACGGAGUGAGAGAGGCCUGCUGAUAAGACUGCAAAGCAUUAUGGGAAUGGGGUAGCAGAGUUCCUCAGGGCUCCUUGGCUGGCUCUCUAUCUGUCUCUCUCUCUCUCUCUGGGUAUAUGUGUUGACGACCAUAUGGCCACAUUCUUUGGAGGAGGUCCUGACCUGAAACCUGCCAGAGGACUACUGAAUUGCAGUUUUUGUAUAAUAGUAUUAAGAAGACUGCUUGGCCAACUGUGUUUGCAGUUACAUUAUUGGUGGAACGGGAAUAUUGUGUUUCUAAUAAAGAAAUACUGUAUUCUUACCUUUUAAA